UUUUACAUUAGCUAGGUGUGGUGCCGCACAUCUGCGGUCUCAGCUUCUCUGGAGGAUCGCCUGAGCCCGGGAGUUCGAGGCUGCAGUGAGCUGUGACUGUGCCACUGCACUCCAGCCUGGGUGACAGAGUGAGACCCUGUCUCUAAAAAUUAAAAUUAAAAUGCAAACUUCAAUGUGCCAAAAUGUUGUUUUUUAGACAUGCAAGAAAGCACUUCAGCCAAGCAGAAGGGAGCCAGCUGGAUGAGGUGCGCCAGGCCAUGGGCAUGCUGGCCUUCCCACCCGACACGCACAUCUCCCCGUACAAGGACCUCCUGGACCCUGCACGGUGGCGGAUGCUGAUCCAGCAGUUCCGGUACGACAACUACCGACUACACCAGCUGGGAAACAACUCUGUGUUCACCCUCACGCUGCAGGCCGGCCUCUCAGCCAUCAAGACACCGUAUCCUGCCUCCUGUGCGCAGUGCGGUUUGGCCUGGGGUUCGCGUCUUUGGUCACAUUUUAACACGCUGACCCUGCACCUUACCACUCUAGUCCUCCCACCACAGACAGCCCCGGACUCCCGUGUGCUGCACUUGCGCAGUGUCUAGAUGGUCGGGGUGGGGCCGUGUUGAGGGGCCUCGGAUGCGUCGUGCAGCCUUCCCUCUGGGAAGUGGCGCGCUUCCUCUCAUCAUCUCAGAUGCCGCCAUGGGCAUUGAUCUAAAAGCCCGAUUUUGAUGUGUUCUGGGCAGCUGGGAGAUUACCAUUCAGAAUAGUUUUCCCAUGUGAUUACCAAGAACCUUGCCUGUGACUGACUCUAUCCCACCUGUGACUGACUCUGUCCCACCUGCUACUCACUGAGUUCCUGCUUGUGACUGACUCUGUCUCUGCCUGUGACUGAAUCGGCCCCUGCCUGUGACUGACUCAGCCUCUUACUGACUCUGCCCCUGCCUGUGACUGACUCUGUCCCCACCAGUGACUGACUGUCCUCCUGCAACUGAGUGUCCCCGUCUGUGAAUGUCUUUCAUGUGACCUGACUCAGGCCCAGAGGGCAGUGAGUGUUUCGGGAUUGCUGCUGGUACCCGGCUGUGCUGGGGUAUGAAUGAGACUCAGGCCCCCUCCCUUGUCCCCUCUUUGUGGAACUCUGACGGGGAGGGCUGGCGUGCUUGUCCACUGCCUGUUCCUAGGUGCCAGCAGAACAUCCCUGCUGCGUGGUGGCUCUUGUCCUGCCUGGAGAGGCUGCAUGGCCGGGGAGAGGGUGGUGGGCGACGGAGCCGCUGUGUGCCUGUGGUCCUGGUGCAGGAGGCCGGGGCGAGAAGGCGCAGGCUUCUUGUCUCCGCCCAGGCCUCAGUGGGGCUUUUUAGCUGUCGAGUGCAGCACUUGCUUUGCCUCGAAAGACAGCCCCGUGUAGUCAGCAUGGUGCCUACAUAGCCAGAAGGGCACGCAGCCCAGGGUAGAGUGGCCACAGGGGGUUGGGCUUGCCCUGGGUGGCCCCCAACCCUUCCUUGACCCGAUGCUCAGACAGUGCUACAAGGAGGAUGGCAGCUCCAAGAGCCCUGACUGCCCUGUGUGCAGCCGCUCCCUGAACAAGCUGGCGCAGCCCCUGCCCAUGGCCCACUGUGCCAACUCCCGCCUGGUCUGCAAGAUUUCUGGCGACGUGAUGAACGAGAACAACCCGCCCAUGAUGCUGCCCAACGGCUACGUCUACGGCUACAAUUCUCUGCUUUCUAUCCGUCAAGAUGAUAAAGUCGUUUGCCCGAGAACCAAAGAAGUCUUCCACUUCUCACAGGCCGAGAAGGUGUACAUCAUGUAGGCCCCAUGUCGUGAAGCGCACGCCUCGGGGACGGGCUGCGGCGGGCGGGGAGGCCACGCCUUCCUCCUGUCCCUCGCUCCAGCCUGCCACGGCGUUUCUGUUUCUUGCGACCAAAGAUCAGUGAGCAAUGAUAAAUACUCUUAGGAAGAGAGAAAAUAAGGUUUAAUAAGUUUGUACUUGAAAACAUUUUGAUUGGUAGGAUUUUGUAACACGUCAACCAUUUGAUGCUUCGGAAAAGUACUUUCAACUUGCGAAGGAAACUUUUCUUUAAAGACUGACCUAAACACCGAGGGAAACUUUAGAACGUUUAAAAUAUAGGAGUCCGUGAUUUCCCUGUGUUUUCAGUUUCUUUCCUUCUGUGAACGAUGAGACUUGGAGAACGGGCUGGUCCUUCACCGCUUUCUGUUGGCCCUGGCCCGGCCGGGGAAGGUGGCAGCGGCACUGGACUGACCUGCAGUGACCCGUGAUGCCGCGCCACGAGGGACACUUAUGGCUUCAUUCGAGAGCUGCUGCCAAAACGCCUGGCGCCGCCACCGUCGGGCCGGCUUCGAGGACACCCGCCUGCCUCGCGGGCCGUGUCCGCGGGACUGUGUUCGUACGUGCGUAGUUUCGAUAUCACAUCGCGGGGCUGUGUUCGUACGUGCGUAGUUUCAAUAUCACACCCUCUGUGUGCCGCCUUACUUCCUGCUUCGAGAAUGUAUAACGUGGAAAUCCACGGGACCAAGUUUCUGCAGAGGCCUUGCCGGAUGGUUCCACAACUGUAGAGUCUAAUUACUAUCCAUUACAGAAAUUAAUCGUUCAGUUGAAAGAAGUACUGAUGACUUUUCAAAACAAAUGAACCACCGUAGCUGACAGAGAACCGUAUCGUAGAGGUUUGUAGUUAGUGCUUAUUUUUGCAUGUUGAUGUUGACUAGCUAAUAAACUGUAAAUGUAAACCAUGCGAAUAAAAUGGUUUUCUAUUUCUCAUUUGUGUGUG
rnacentral:sRNA from 1 species